rfam:Gossypium arboreum cultivar AKA8401 contig_30157_1, whole genome shotgun sequence.
GGUUGUUUGGUUUAGUGGUAUGAUACUCGCUUUGGGUGCGAGAGGUCCCGACUUCGAUUCUCGGAACGGCCC